GCACCCUGACAUCUGCUUUGUUUUAUAGGGUCUAGAACUGUCUGUUCUUUCUUUACCUCUGGGAAGACUGGGACUUAUGGUGCAGCCACCAGAUAGGAGAUCUGGUGCUGAGCCCCAGGCUGGGGCAGCAGGAAAACCACACCCAGUUACUUCCAGUCUGUUCUCUCUCACCAAGGUUCCCUGUCCCUCCAAGAACUAAUGCACAGAAACUCUCUCACUGGUGGACACUCCAUGGUUAAUAUUCUUCUCUUUUCUUCUGUGAUCAAAAGAAAUUCUGUUUCCUCAUAGAUGCUGGAAGUUCCCUAUGGAGAAAAAAAAUAUUAUUAUUUCUCAUCUUUUUGCACUCAUGGGCUAAGAGCUUCUCAAACCCCAAGGGCUCUGCUCACAAUCACCAAACGAAGGAAAAAGCAGCUGGAAAUGCAGCCCGGAGAUGUGUUCCCAGGAGUUGAGACUCUGGCUCCCGUAGAUUGCACCUCACACACGCACACCCUGUCUGUCUGUGUGCAUUUAGAGCACGUUCUCAAGAUCGAGUCUGAUUCUCACAACGACCCCAAGUAACCACAAUGACAAGUGUGAUGAGUUUCCCACAGUUCACAGAACAAGAUGGGAAGAAUGGUCCAGAAUCAUCCCACAGAUAAACUUCAAGCUGACAACGCCUUGGAUUUCAAGAACUUAAGCCUGCACUUUGCUUCUAUGAGGAACUGCCAAUGUUUUGCCCUCAGGCAAAGAGGAAACCUGAUUUCUUUCCCCUGACCAUGUCUCAGAAUGUCCAGUUCCAGCCGUUAAGAUCUCUCCCCUGCUGCAAUCUGCUAAUUAAGAACAUACUCUGUCACCUCUCUCGCUCUCCCUCUUCAUCUUCCUCUCCCUUUCCCUCUUUUCCCCUCUCUCCACCUCAUUUCUUAAUUUUUCCCUCCUACUCUUCCUCCCUUUCAUAACAUUGCAUCAUUUCUGAUUGUCCUGCUUUGUGAUACAGUUCAGGGAGGUUUGACACAGAGAAGAACUGUCAGUUCUUUAAUCACUUCUUUAUUAUCAAGAUAGGGAGAGAAAUGCCAUUAUCUUUCACAACUUCACUUUGUGGGACAGAUGUAUUUUUAGUAGGCUCCAGAGAACUGAAACAAUUCUAUACAUUAACAUAACUUCAAAAUCAACCACUUUCUCAUUGAUACAAUUUGGAAAUAAACUGAAGUGGGUAUAGUUUCUUGCUCUUCUGUCCCUCCCAGGGGACAACAAUUAGUGAACCAACCACUCAUAUGGAACUCUCAAUUGGCCACGUGAAUAGAGUGAGUGGAAAUCCUUUCUUCGUGAUGUGCAAUGGAUGCUAUCAUUUCAGUCACCAUGAUGUCGAAGUGGGAAUCGAUAUUUGAGGGGAGGGAAAUAUCCCAACCCUGACCAUCUACUGAACAAUGACUCACCAAUAGCUGCACAACAGUCAGGACAGAGCACAUGUCCGGAAAAUUUCAUUUUAAUUUGCCUCAGCUGGGACUACAGUUACUGUUUGAAAGAAAGAACAAUCAACAAAGUACCUAGGAAAGAAGACAUCUUGCAACACUCUUCAAUUUCUUCUUAAAUGCUUGGGGGAAACGUGAAAAAUUUUGAUAAAUAGGAAAACAAAAUUGUUGGCAAUAAAAUUAAUAAACAGCUUAUAUUUUCUUCCUUUCAAAUU
rnacentral:lncRNA from 1 species